AACGCGAAGAACCUUACCUGGGCUCGAACGGCUUAAGAACAUCUUUGGAAACAGGGACUUCCCGCAAGGGACUUGAGUCGAGGUGCUGCAUGGCUGUCGUCAGCUCGUGUCGUGAGAUGUUGGGUUAAGUCCCGCAACGAGCGCAACCCUUGUCCUGUGUUGCCACUCCCCUUAAAAGGAAGCACUCGCAGGAGACCGCCAGCGAUAAGCUGGAGGAAGGUGGGGAUGAUGUCAAGUCAUCAUGGCCUUUAUGUCCAGGGCUACACACGUGCUACAAUGGCCGGUACAAAGCGCUGCAAACCCGCGAGGGGGAGCUAAUCGCAAAAAACCGGUCUCAGUUCGGAUCGCAGGCUGCAACUCGCCUGCGUGAAGCUGGAAUCGCUAGUAAUGGUGUAUCAGAACGAUACCGUGAAUACGUUCCCGGGCCUUGUACACACCGCGAGC
rnacentral:rRNA from 1 species